AUGCUGGAGGAGGAGCACGGGGCCAUGGGGGCGGACGGCCUCGCCGGCAGCGCGCCGGAGCGGGGCGGCGGGUGGGCGGAGGCGGCGCUGGAGCCGGUGCGGUGGGUGCGGAUGCUGUGCCGGGAGCUGGGCGCGACGUUCGUGGCCGGGGUGGUGCUGGUGUACGGCCUCAACCAGGGGUUCGCCGGCUCCUUCUUCCGGGUGGCGUCCGACUACUACUGGAAGGACGUGCAGCGGGUGCAGCCGGCCACCGUGCAGUUCCUCUCCAUCUUCUUCCACGUCCCCUGGGUCCUCAAGCCCCUCUGGGGGGUCAUGACCGACGUCUUCCCCGUCCGAGGCUACCGCCGCCGCCCCUACUUCGUCUUCUCAGGAAUGCUUGGAAUGUUUUCAACUGCUAUUCUUGCCAGUGUUGGACUAUCAGUGACUUCUGCAGUAGUUUGCUUCGUGGGAAUCUCCACAGCAGUUGCCAUUGCUGAUGUUACAAUAGAUGCAUGCAUUGCAAAGAACAGUAUUGACAAGCCAGCAUUGGCCCCAGACAUGCAGAGCCUUUGUGCAUUCUCGUCGUCGCUAGGUGCACUUAUUGGGUAUGCUACAAGUGGCAUGUUUGUCCACCAUCUAGGAGCACAGGGUGCAUUAGGUGUGAUGGCUUUACCUCCUACUAUGUUGGUUUUCCUAGGAUUUUACAUAUAUGAGCUGAAAAUGUAUCAGCAUAACAUGAAAGAGAAGGUUUUGAACAAGGUUACUGUGGCAGUUAAAGGGAUGGUUCAGACAAUAAAGUAUCCAGUAGUGUGGAAACCAUCUCUUUACAUGUUCCUUUCGCUGGCCCUCAGUAUCAGCACUCAUGAGGGGCAGUUCUACUGGUACACUAACAAGGAACCGCCUAAUCCUGGAUUUUCACAGGAAUUUGUGGGGAUGGUGCACGCCGUCGGCGCGGUGGCGUCCAUGGUGGGCGUCCUGAUCUACCACAAGAACCUCAAGGACUACCCGUUCCGGAGCAUCCUCUUCUUCGCCCAGCUCCUGCACGGCGCCUCCGGCCUCCUCGACCUCACCUUCGUGCUCCGGUGGAACCUCGCGCUCGGCGUCCCGGACGCGGUCUUCGUCACCCUGGAGGAGUGCGUCUCCCGGGUCGUCGGCCGCGUCCGGCUGAUGCCGAUGAUGGUCCUCAGCACCAAGCUCUGCCCGCCGGGCGCCGAGGGCACCUUCUUCGCGCUGCUCAUGUGCAUCGACAGCCUCGGCAUGCUGGUCGCCAAGACCGGCGGCGCCUUCGUGCUCCGGGCCCUGCACGUGACGAGGACCGAUUUCAGCAACCUCUGGCUCGCCGUGCUGCUGCGGAACCUGCUGAGGCUGUCCGCGCUGGGCGCCAUCUUCCUGGUGCCCACCGCCGACCAGACCGACGUGCUGCUCCCGCAGGACCUCCUCAGCUCCGGCUCCCCGGCGGCUGCCGCCGGCGACGAGGAAGAGAGGUUGUUGCAGCUCGGGAAGCUCACUUCUCACACUGACGACGAUGUAUGA
rnacentral:rRNA from 1 species